UACGAAGGGUGCAAGCGUUAAUCGGAACUACUGGGCGUAAAGCGCGCGUAGGUGGUUCGUUAAGUUGGAUGUGAAAGUCCCGGGCUCAACCUGGGAACUGCAUCCAAAACUGGCGAGCUAGAGUAUGGCAGAGGGUGGUGGAAUUUCCUGUGUAGCGGUGAAAUGCGUAGAUAUAGGAAAGAACACCAGUGGCGAAGGCGACCACCUGGGCUAAUACUGACACUGAGGUGCGAAAGCGUGGGGAGCAAACAGGAUUAGAUACCCUUGUAGU
rnacentral:rRNA from 1 species